GUCGUAGACCCGAAACCAGGUGAUCUACCCUUGGUCAGGUUGAAGUUCAGGUAACACUGAAUGGAGGACCGAACCGACUUACGUUGAAAAGUGAGCGGAUGAACUGAGGGUAGCGGAGAAAUUCCAAUCGAACCUGGAGAUAGCUGGUUCUCUCCGAAAUAGCUUUAGGGCUAGCCUCAAGUGAUGAUUAUUGGAGGUAGAGCACUGUUUGGACGAGGGGCCCCUCUCGGGUUACCGAAUUCAGACAAACUCCGAAUGCCAAUUAAUUUAACUUGGGAGUCAGAACAUGGGUGAUAAGGUCCGUGUUCGAAAGGGAAACAGCCCAGACCACCAGCUAAGGUCCCAAAAUAUAUGUUAAGUGGAAAAGGAUGUGGCGUUGCCCAGACAACUAGGAUGUUGGCUUAGAAGCAGCCAUCAUUUAAAGAGUGCGUAAUAGCUCACUAGUCGAGUGACACUGCGCCGAAAAUGUACCGGGGCUAAACAUAUUACCGAAGCUGUGGAUUGUCCUUUGGACAAUGGUAGGAGAGCGUUCUAAGGGCGUUGAAGCAUGAUCGUAAGGACAUGUGGAGCGCUUAGAAGUGAGAAUGCCGGUGUGAGUAGCGAAAGACGGGUGAGAAUCCCGUCCACCGAUUGACUAAGGUUUCCAGAGGAAGGCUCGUCCGCUCUGGGUUAGUCGGGUCCUAAGCUGAGGCCGACAGGCGUAGGCGAUGGAUAACAGGUUGAUAUUCCUGUACCACCUAUAAUCGUUUUA
rnacentral:rRNA from 1 species